UCGGGAAUUUUGGGCAAUGGGCGAAAGCCUGACCCAGCAACGCCGCGUGAAGGAUGAAGUAUUUCGGUAUGUAAACUUCGUAAGAAUAGGAAGAAUAAAUGACGGUACUAUUUGUAAGGUCCGGCUAACUACGUGCCAGCAGCCGCGGUAAUACGUAGGGACCAAGCGUUGUUCGGAUUUACUGGGCGUAAAGGGCGCGUAGGCGGCGUGGUAAGUCAUCUGUGAAAUCUCCGAGCUUAACUCGGAACGGUCAGAUGAUACUGCUGUGCUAGAGUACAGAAAGGGCAAUCGGAAUUCUUGGUGUAGCGGUGAAAUGCGUAGAUAUCAAGAGGAACACCUGAGGCGAAGGCGGGUUGCUAGGCUGAUACUGACGCUGAGGCGCGAAAGCUAGGGUAGCAAACGGGAUUAGAUACCCACUUAGUCCCUGAGCGGGCUGGCAAGGCGC
rnacentral:rRNA from 1 species